UCGCCUGUUUUUCAAAAACAUCCCUAAAGAAUUUCUUUAGCUAGAUCUGCCCAGUGAAUUUUUAACGGCCGCAGUAUUUUAACUGUGCUAAGGUAGCAUAAUAAUUAGUUUCUUAAUUAGAGACUAGUAUGAAAGAUUAAACGAGAAAUCUACUUUUUUAAAAUCUCAAGAAAUUAAGCAGGAAGUAAAAAUUCUUCUAAACUCCAAAGGGACGACAAGACCCUAUAAAACUUUACUUUCAAAAAAAAAAAUAACUAAGAACUAAAAUAUUUUUAAAAGAGUUUUGCUGGGGCGGUAUAUUUUAAUUUAAACAAAUUUUAAUAAAACAAUAUUAUUGAUAUUAAAAACCAUAUUUAAAUACUCAAGAUUUAAGUUACUUUAGGGAUAACAGCAUAAUAUUUUCUAAGAGAUCUUAUCGAAGAAAAUGAUUUUGACCUCGAUGUUGAAUUGAAGUUUCUAAAUAGAGUAGCCCCUAUUUAAGACAGUCUGUUCGACUUGUAAAUCUUCACAUGAUCUGAGUUCCAAACCGGA
rnacentral:rRNA from 1 species